GGGAGCGCGGGCGCGCGCCCGCGUCCGCGCACUGAGAGUCGCCUCGGCCGCUCGCUUUCUCGACUCCCGCCUCGCGCCUCGAUCCUGUUCCGCCUCCCUCGGCCCUCCUGCCCGCCCCCACUCGUCGGCCCUCAGCAUUGUCUUUGAAUAUUAGCAAAUAAUGGAACAUGGGCCAAGGGUGAACCAUGACGAAUUUGUGUUCCAGCAGCCCUGCUUCUUUAGAAUUGACAGUCUGGCUUCGUGGUUAAUUCACAGCAUCUGAGGAAUACAUCCAAAGAGGGUGAUACUGUGGCAUGAUGGUACCAGGAUUCCAAGUUCAUUCCAGAGAAGAUGGCAAGAUGCAGAGAGGAGGAGUCACGCCUGAAGCCACACAGCUGACAUCAGAGCCAAAGCAUGAGCCUCAGUCUCUCUGACCCAGAGCUACCACCCUUGCUGCCUUGGGAAGAAGGAAGCCCCCUCCUAUUCUAUCCUUGAGCUGCCUUGGCAAGGAGGGGCCCCUUGCUGCCGCCAUCCUCACAGGACACCAUCCACAUGAGGGGAUGAAUCUCAGUUGCACUCAGUUGUUGCCCCCCUCGAACCUCCCUUGAGCCUCAGGAGAAACCACCCUGAUUCAGAGGUCCAGAGAAGACCUGACUAGCCCAAGGUAAUUCCGUCCCCUUGCCAGAGUGGCUUGGGCAGGGACACGGGACCUAUUUCAAUGAGGCCAAUGAGACAAAGGUAUUUCUGCUGGGGAGGCAGGGGCUUCAAGCAAAGGGUCUUGCUUGAAAGAGCCACCGGAAGAGGGCUCUCUCCUUCCUUAGGGUGUCACCGUGUCUGGAUGCGAUGCCUGGAAGUGCUACAGCCACUCGCGCCCAGCCUGAAGAUGAAACCAACCCCAAACACAGCCAAGCAGAGAGAUGGAAAGAACUAGGACCCUAAUUACACCACUGAGCAGCUAUAGCAACCAGUUCCAGAGCCCUCUGACUUCCCGCCAAAGUGAGAUGAUAAGAUACUGUUUAAUUUCUCUCUUUUAUAGCCAAACACACCAAAAUUGACACAGAGAUGUGAGCCAUACCUACUACUGUUACUGCUCCAUCCCUAGCUCCAACCACAGUGCAUGGUACAUGGUAGAGAGCCAACAAACACUUGAAGAAUGAAUGGUGCAUAUUGAGUGGGAUUUUCCAGAGGCAGACCUGGAGACAAGGCUUCAAGUGCGUGUGUUGUAUUAAGGAAAUGCUCCCAGGGGACAAUAGCAGAGUGGCAGAAAUGGGACAAGGGGGCCAGGGAGCCAAGAACAGAGAAUCAAUCGUCUAAACAGAGCCCCCUGUUUUUUGUUUCACCUGGGAGUAGCUUCUACCUGAUCCCCAGGGGAACUCUGGGAUGUCAGUGACGGCUCAGCAUUGCCCCUGAGGCAAGGGAGCUGGGCUUUCCUAAUCCCCCACUCCUCAGUCUCUGGCUAAGCGCUGUCCCCAGGGGACUUAAUCACCCAAACACUUCCCCAAGAGUGGCAUCUGCUGACCACUGGAGGCACUGGUACAGUGAAGCGACAGAAGGGAUCAGAGAGGGUCCAGGUGGAGCACAGCAAUGUGGCUGAAUAAUAACUAUAUUAAUUCAUAUAGUUAAUUCUCAAGCAAUGGCAAAGUGUAGGCAGCUUCUUGUCUGCAAACGUUUCCAUGAUAUCUCUCCUGCAGCCAGACGGGUCUUUUCCUGCCGCCUACACAGAAUGGCCAUGGAGCAUCCCCAACUCUUAUUAAAAUGGAAAAAAAAAAA
ensembl:lncRNA novel transcript, antisense to CBLN1